rnacentral:rRNA from 1 species
UGGGGAAUUUUGCGCAAUGGGCGAAAGCCUGACGCAGCAACGCCGCGUGAGUGAUGAAGGCUUUCGGGUCGUAAAGCUCUGUCAAGGGGAAAGAAGUGUAUUGUGGUUAAUACCCAUGAUGCUUGACGGUACCCCUAAAGGAAGCACCGGCUAACUCCGUGCCAGCAGCCGCGGUACUACGGGGGGUGCAAGCGUUGUUCGGAAUUAUUGGGCGUAAAGCGCGUGUAGGCGGUUUGUUAAGUCUGAUGUGAAAGCCCCGGGCUCAACCUGGGCAGGGCAUUGGAAACUGGCAGACUGGAAUACGGGAGAGGGUAGUGGAAUUCCUGGUGGAGGAGUGAAAUCCGUAGAUAUCAGGAGGAACACCGGUGGCGAAGGCGGCUGCCUGGACCGAUAUUGACGCUGAGACGCGAAAGCGUGGGUAGCAAACA